UACAGAGGGUGCGAGCGUUAAUCGGAAUUACUGGGCGUAAAGCGCGCGUAGGCGGCUUUUCAAGUCGAUUGUGAAAUCCCCGGGCUUAACCUGGGAACUGCAGUCGAGACUGUCUAGCUAGAGUAUGGGAGAGGGAAGUGGAAUUUCAGGUGUAGCGGUGAAAUGCGUAGAUAUCUGAAGGAACACCAGUGGCGAAGGCGGCUCACUGGUCCGGUACUGACGCUGAGGUGCGAAAGCGUGGGGAGCAAACAGG
rnacentral:rRNA from 1 species